CAUUUUCUGACAGACUGACGCCAACAUCUCCUUCCCCCCCUCCCUCUCUCUGUCUAUGCCUGUCGUCUGCGUUUCGAGCCUUCCUCUGCUCUGCAGAAAUGGCGAGCGCCAGCUCUCCAUCUCUGCAACUCCGCAGCCUCGAACUCCCUCUCCCGCCUUCCCACCGAAGAAGGACCCACAGUAGCAUCACGUCCUUCGUCUCACAUAGUUCAAACCCUCCGAGCAGCAUGGCCAAAACCCCGCUUCGUCAAUCCGGUGUUUCCCCCCAAUUCCCCCUGUCUUCCCGCCUCGAGCUGGGCAAUGGGUUCUUCACCGCACAUUCCCUCCUCAACGAUUUCUCGGUGGAAGAUAAUCGAGUCGAAGAUGAUAGCCCAACUGCUGAAGUUAAAAGCUGUGUGUGGAAUUGGAGGGGCUACUCGAUACGGUACCAGUGUUCCGGGAACGGCGGGCCGGCAUUGGUUUUGAUCCAUGGUUUUGGAGCCAACAGUGACCACUGGAGGAAGAAUAUCCCAGUCCUGGCGAAAUCUCACAGGGUGUACUCAAUCGACCUCAUUGGUUACGGCUACUCAGAUAAACCGAACCCUCAUGAGUUUGGAGGCGACCCAUUCUACACGUUUGAGACAUGGGCCGCUCAGAUCAUUGACUUCUGUCAUGAAGUGGUUAAAGACCGAGCAUUCUUUAUCUGCAACUCCAUUGGAGGAGUUGUGGGUCUUCAAGCUGCAAUUAUGGAACCGGAUAUCUGUCGGGGAAUCGUCUUGUUAAAUAUUUCUUUGCGAAUGCUGCAUAUCAAGAAGCAGCCUUGGUAUGGGAGGCCCUUGAUCAGAUCCUUCCAGAAUUUGCUGAGGAACACUGCAAUCGGGAAGUUCUUUUUCAGAGCUGUCGCUACACCCGAGUCAGUCAGGAGCAUCCUUUGUCAGUGUUAUCACGAUCCUUCCCAAGUGACUGAUGAGCUAGUUGAGAAGAUCCUUCAACCCGGGCUAGAGCCUGGGGCCGCAGACGUAUUUCUUGAAUUCAUUUGUUACUCAGGGGGGCCUCUUCCCGAGGAACUUCUGCCCCAAGUGAAGUGUCCUGUCUUGGUCGCAUGGGGAGAUAAGGACCCGUGGGAGCCCAUAGAGCUCGGACGAGAGUUCAGGAAUUUCGAUUCCGUAGAGGAUUUUGUUGUUCUACCGAAUGUCGGUCACUGUCCUCAGGAUGAAGCACCACAGCUCGUGAAUCCACUUGUGGAAUCAUUCGUGGCUAGGCACGAUAUAUCGUUUGCUGCAACCACAUAACACGACCAGCCUGGGGGGCAGGACAGCAUUCUCUCGAUCGUUCCUGGGGAAAGCCAUCUAUCUAUAUAUAUAUACAUCGGGUCACAUUUUUUAAGUUGUUACAUAAUAUGAUGUUUGGCAAUGAAAGAACCUACCCAGUGGUACCUGUCCAUUGAUAGAACCAAAUGUCGUGGCGAUGAAGAUCAAGCUUUGAAGCAGCCGCCACUUGCCGCUCUCAUCAGAAAUUACAAAAGAUGUCCUCGAUCAAUAUGGUCUUCUUUACUAUAAAAGUGAUGAGUCCCACAUGUCAUGUCUCACGUUAAGAUUGGUCCUACUUGGGAGAAGCCAUGGACGAACAACCGCACCUCAUGAAUAGUUAAAGGUUGCUGCAACCACCACCUCCUCGUUGCAAAUGGUGGGUGGUGCCUUCUCAAGACAUGUUCAGGUCGGAUUGAGUUCAUGAUUUCGUUGAGGCGGCCCAAACUUCUGCUGCAUGGUCCACCUUCUGAUAAUAAAAUCGGACCCCAAUAGAGAUGCAUCGAGGCAAAAGCAUCAUCGGUAUCAUCAUGCUGUUAGUGACAUAAUGUAGUGUGAGUGUUAUCUUCUGCAUGUCGACAUCUCCAGUCAACUAUUUAAUGAUGAUCUAAGGCAAUAAGUAGGAUUAUGUGGAAAAAUCAUACAGGCUAAUCAUGGGAAUUGCUCAGAGUGGAAGAAAAACGGAAUGGUAAUCUCCGUCAGUGGCAACGAGAGCCCAUUUCCAUCUC